rnacentral:rRNA from 1 species
UAACACUAACUGGAGGACCGAACCGACUAAUGUUGAAAAAUUAGCGGAUGACCUGUGGCUGGGGGUGAAAGGCCAAUCAAACCGGGAGAUAGCUGGUUCUCCCCGAAAGCUAUUUAGGUAGCGCCUCGUGAAUUCAUCUCCGGGGGUAGAGCACUGUUUCGGCUAGGGGGCCAUCCCGGCUUACCAACCCGAUGCAAACUGCGAAUACCGGAGAAUGUUAUCACGGGAGACACACGGCGGGUGCUAACGUCCGUCGUGAAGAGGGAAACAACCCAGACCGCCAGCUAAGGUCCCAAAGUCAUGGUUAAGUGGGAAACGAUGUGGGAAGGCCCAGACAGCCAGGAUGUUGGCUUAGAAGCAGCCAUCAUUUAAAGAAAGCGUAAUAGCUCACUGGUCGAGUCGGCCUGCGCGGAAGAUGUAACGGGGCUAAACCAUGCACCGAAGCUGCGGCAGCGAACGUAUCACCCAAGACAACUUUACGGAGUUGACGAUUGACGGAGCGAAGCGACGUCAAAGCGUUCAUUAAAGUCGAGUUGGCUUAGGGAUACGUUCGUUGGGUAGGGGAGCGUUCUGUAAGCCUGUGAAGGUGUGUCGUGAGGCAUGCUGGAGGUAUCAGAAGUGCGAAUGCUGACAUAAGUAACGAUAAAGCGGGUGAAAAGCCCGCUCGCCGGAAGACCAAGGGUUCCUGUCCAACGUUAAUCGGGGCAGGGUGAGUCGACCCCUAAGGCGAGGCCGAAAGGCGUAGUCGAUGGGAAACGGGUUAAUAUUCCCGUACUUGGUGUUACUGCGAAGGGGGGACGGAGAAGGCUAUGUUGGCCGGGCGACGGUUGUCCCGGUUUAAGCGUGUAGGUGUGUGUUCCAGGUAAAUCCGGUUCACUUUAACACUGAGGCGUGACGACGAGGCACUACGGUGCUGAAGCAACAAAUGCCCUGCUUCCAGGAAAAGCCUCUAAGCAUCAGGUAACACGAAAUCGUACCCCAAACCGACACAGGUGGUCAGGUAGAGAAUACCAAGGCGCUUGAGAGAACUCGGGUGAAGGAACUAGGCAAAAUGGUGCCGUAACUUCGGGAGAAGGCACGCUGACAC